rnacentral:lncRNA from 1 species
GCUCUGCACAUUCGCUAUUAGAUUUAAUUGACUUGCUUCCCACAGGUAAAAUUUCCCUUUCCAAGUCUAAACUACAUUUAUGCUUGGACAAAAUAAAAUAAAAAUCAAAUCUUAAUAUUACUUGUGACUCAAUAUCAGCCACAAUCAUCUCAUGUUUUAUAAUUUAAAACCAAUAUCAAAAAUAAAUUCAGCCUUUCCCAGGGGCAUACAAUACUACCAUUGGCCAUUUUUCACCGACUUGUAAAUUCAGGUCUAUCUGUCUCAGGAAUCUGAUGAAAUUUCCAAGAGUUUAGAACAAUAGUAAAAGAACCUGUAUCGAUCACACAAGUAGGAGAAUACUUGCCGCCCGAGCAUAUAAAAAUAGAAAACAUUAUAAAAUUUAUUACAUUUUUUUAUUAAAAUGAGGAGGAGGUGCACAAUUCGGCACUGAUGUAAAUUUCACUGCCACCAGCUUACAAAAUCUGGUACCUGCCCCGUAGCCCCGCCGGUCCCUGCAGAAGUCCGGUCGAAGUCUCACCCCUUGGAUGCACAGGCCCAAGUACUCUCCCGGGUUACUGGAACUCCUCUGUGGACCCCUCAGCAGCAUUAGCACAACCCUGAUCUGAGUAGGGUCCAAAGAUCAGUACUACUAAUGUGGUGUAGCCCCUUGUUGCCCGAUGCCGCCAGUUCGCGAUUACUCCGCCCCUGCACCUGCCUAGGCUGUGAAGGCGGAUAUAGAAUAUCCACAGAGUCCGAACCAUCUGUCUCUACCCUAAACUCCUCGCGCUCAGCUUUUAAAUAUCUGACGUAAGUCUGCAUUUUCCCUUAAUUUAAUAUCCCCUUAAUCUCAUGAGAGGGGUUGAGUUCCAGUCGUCCCUACCACCAGCACCGGUAUAACGCUAAAGCCGCUGAGGUGUUCUGUCUGUCAUAUCUUUACUGAUAUGCCACUGCCCUCUCACCAAUAAUAAAUCACAAAAUCAAAAUAAAACAACAUAUUUAUAAAGGAUCUUUUAAUUCCACUUUGAAACUGUAGAAUCCUGUCGACGACGCCAAAUGUAACGUUUUCGCUAACCGGUGAGAGAACCUUUCUAACCAACCAAACCCAACCAACCAACAGACCAGACAGACACCAACAACAAACCAAAAGAAAUAAACAGGAAAUAUGAAUGCUCAGAAUUACUACUGCUACCGCUACUGCAUACUGCAUAUCACACAAAUAUAGUUUCUAGGUCGGCAAACGGUCUCCUUUUUAUGUGUGUGUGUAAAACGAUGGUAUUUUUAUAUGUAUUGUAAUUAAGUGUCAGAUCAGUCUUAGUUUGAUGUUCUGAAUGUAAACACAAAGUCGCUUCAAAUGUAUAACAAGUUUUAUUCACCAGACAUAAUAUUAAUAACAACAGGAACAAGAAUGGACAGAUAUAAAUCUCUUAAAGCAGCGAUCAAUAAUUAACAAUAUUUCGUAUAGAUUAGACAAACAGAGAAUUCUUUAAAACAGCUACACCAAAAUCAGCAUUCAACAAACACAGAUACUAUCAGCAACUCUCUAUGUAAUUACAAGUAAAAUACUACACAAAUAAAUAAGUCACAAUGUUCCUAACCCCUUAACAACAACCCUGACUAUUUAAAACAAACGGAC